GGGCAGAAAAGCUUAACUUCAGCAACAUCCACUUCAAAUAUACAGUCUUCAGCCUCACAACCCCCUCGCCCCCAACAAGGACAAGUGAAGCUCACCAUGGCUCAACUUACUCAGUUAACACAGGGCCACGGUGGCAAUCAAGGUUUGACAGUAGUAAUUCAAGGACAAGGUCAAACUACUGGACAGUUGCAGUUGAUACCUCAAGGGGUGACUGUACUCCCAGGCCCAGGCCAGCAGCUAAUGCAAGCUGCAAUGCCAAAUGGUACUGUUCAGCGAUUCCUCUUUACCCCAUUGGCAACAACAGCCACCACAGCCAGCACCACCACCACCACUGUUUCCACGACAGCAGCAGGUAGAGCUGUGGGUUUAUCAGAAAUGUCGGAUGUUACUACUACACGUUGCUGGGCUAACAGAGGCCAACAGGAGAACCAGUAUUUACCUUUGGAAGGAUAUGCCUCAAGCCAGUGAGCUCAACAGUUGACAUAGUCAGCCUCACAACGUCUCGAAGCUUUUGUACCCUAUUCUUACAGGCUCCCUGUUACCACCACCCUCUCCCUCCUAUUAAAAAAGA
rnacentral:sRNA from 1 species